rnacentral:rRNA from 1 species
UGGGGAAUAUUGCACAAUGGGGGGAACCCUGAUGCAGCGACGCCGCGUGAGGGAAGAAGGUUUUCGGAUUGUAAACCUCUGUCUUUGGUGACGAAAGAUGACGGUAGCCAAAGAGGAAGCUACGGCUAACUACGUGCCAGCAGCCGCGGUAAUACGUAGGUGGCAAGCGUUGUCCGGAAUUACUGGGUGUAAAGGGAGCGUAGGCGGGAAGACAAGUUGAAUGUUUAAACUAUCGGCUCAACCGAUAAUCGCGUUCAAAACUGUAUUUCUUGAGUGAAGUAGAGGCAGGCGGAAUUCCUAGUGUAGCGGUGAAAUGCGUAGAUACUAGGAGGAACACCAGUGGCGAAGGCGGCCUGCUGGGCUUUAACUGACGCUGAGGCUCGAAAGCGUGGGUAGCAAACAGG